CCGUGCUAGCCGGGGAGAUAGCGGUUCCCUGUACCUGCAAUCCGCUAUAGCAGGGGUGAUGUUCUGUUUCGGGUCUAUGGCUUGCAAAGCUGCCCUUUGUAAGUGGCGUUGACGCUUUGGUCUUGCGCAAUGGAAACUCAUGAACCGUGUCAGGAGGGGAACCUAGCAGCACUAAGUGAGAUCUUCCGUGUGCCGCGAGGUUGCCGGGGCUGAGUUAACUGCAAAGGUAACGU
rnacentral:SRP_RNA from 1 species